CACCUUCUUCCUGGGUGCAUGUACGAAGUAUGAAUUUCAUAACCCUGAGUCCCCAAUUGCAAAAAAAAAAAAUUAAAAGAAAUCAUAACCCAAAAAGGGGAUGGAAAAAGAAAGAGUUUUGUAUGGGCCCGAAACAAAGUUGUGGAAUACGGCCUAUAUAAAACAGACGAAUUACCCUUAUCCAUCUCAUCCGGUUAUUUCCUACGGAGUAUAAAUAAUAAAACCCGGAAACUCAGGCCAUUUUCCCUCCUCCCUCCUUCUUCAACAAAAUUCACCACGCUUCAAUUCUCUCUCUCAUCUGCUGAUGCUUCAUUCUAACGAACUCGGAGAUAUGCAGCCAUGGAGGAGUUCGGAAGCUCGCUCGUCUACGAAUUGUCUACUUCGCACACAUUAUCAGGAUUUGUGAUUGAGCAACGGACAUAGUAAUCCUGAAAAAAUUGAGAGUUAUAUGAUGAUUCUGGAGUCGUUUUUGCUCAGUGGAGGUGAAAUAUAGUCGGAAAAAUAAAUAAAUUUGAAUAGCUAGUUGAAAUUUAUUACUAUGUUUUUUUUUGGUGCAAAUGAGCCACAAGGGCGGGGAUGAGAAUCGAUCUCAGGAUCAUCUGGAACCGGGAUGGAAGCUCUAACCAACUUAGCUAUCUAUCACUCUCGAGAUUUAUUACUAUGUUGUUGAUGAUGUAUUGAUUUAGCUAAUUUGAUGUAAAUAUUCCAUAAGAUUCGUUGUUUAGUUUGUUGGCAAGUGAAAGCUACGGAGAUCCGAGAGUGUGUGGGAGCUAAAAAUAUUAGAUAACCGGCUUUGAAAAAGGCCGAAAUCCAAAUUCAGGUGAAAUUUAUACUCACCUGUCCCUUAAUACUCGACAUGUUUUGAUCGGACACGAUUGCCGAUGCACAACUUUGACCACCAAUUUCUUUAACUACAUAUUAUAAAAACGUUAAUUUUUUUUAAUAUUUUGAAAAUAUAUAUUAAGAUGAAGCCAACAAUAUAUUAUAUACUAACAUUUAUUUUCAUAUACUAUAAAUAAAAUAGGGUCAAAGUGAAUUAUAUGAAUAGUACAAAGAGUCAAAACAGGUCGAGUAUUAAGGGACGGAGGGAGUAAUAAAGGAUUAUUUCAUUUGGCUUUAUUUUUCACCUCCUUACCAAUUUCAAAUGAUAAGCAUACGCAAGGGCUAACAUUGUCAUCAUCUAAAAGCUUUGUCACUUAAGUUUUCAAAUGAUGUGCAAGGAAGAUGAACAGUUUUGAAAAUAUUGCUGAUGGUCACUUGAUACCUCCGAGGAGCGCGUGCCACAUCAGCACCGUAAAAGUUCCCACAACAGAUUCUAGUGCUUGCAAGACUCUAUCUAUUGGUUGUCCUUCCCUUUGAAUUUGCAUCGUUAUUGUGUGUAAUAAAGCCUAUAGAAAAAGGGGUAAAUUUAGGGCUUAUUUCUAGCUUGUUUUAAGUGUGCUUUAAUCUGACCCUUUUUCUGUUUGUAAAAAGGAGUUGCUAUGCCAUUUUGGCAUGUAAACCUGAGAAGGAGUGUUGUUGGGGAAGUUUAAGGGUAUUGAGUGUAAAUAGCACUCUUUGCCAUCCACUAGAGACAGGAUGUAGUAUUGAAUCAGAAUCAGACUUUCUUAGUGAAAUUCUUUUUGUUACUUUGUGUUGUACAACCCUUCUAUUCUCUAUACUUAGUGUUUUUGUUGUUAAAAAGCCCCUCACAACCGUGAAUCAAUUUCUAGUUGUGCGGUUCUAUCUUUCGUUUUUCGUUUCUUUUGCAAUUCAACUCAUUCCGAAAAUGAUCAUAUUCAAUUACACAUCAAUUGGUUAAAAAUUUGAGUGGAAAGUCUAGGUGGAAGGUAAAAGGAAGGUAUGUUUACAAAUGUUCUUGGAGCUACAUGAGGGACUUGGAGUUAGGAAAUAAGAUAAUAUGAUGAGAUGCGAAGUAGGUAGUGGAGAAUGAUAGUAGGAGGCUGCCCCCUUUACCGUAGGUCUUGGAGUGUCUUUAUAUAGAACUUUAGGUAUGUCGUGGUUGAGGUAAUAAUGCUAGUAGUGCUCCCUUGAUCUUCUCAACCGUCUCCUAGAUCUUCUCAACCGCUUCCUUGAUAUUUUCUAACCAACUUGACCUGAGCAAUAAAUAACCCAUUUUUCCAUGACUGGUCUGACUAGUAAGCAUGUGGAGAUAAUGACUCCUUGAAUGUAGGAACCAACCUUGGUUGCAUUUCUGAUAGGAAUUGAAGUGGGUUGGCACGUGGUGACUUGUUCUCGCGCCGACUACGAUCCGUGUAAAAUGACCCAUAACAAUAGCCCCCAUUUUCCUAAUUGUAGCGAGCCGAAAGUUAGGAAAAUAAUCUUCGAAGUCGUGUCGUGUCAUGACUUCGUCUCGUGACGUCAUGUCGUGUCGUGCUGACAUGUCGUGUCGUCCCGUCGUGUUGUCAUUUCGUGCCAUCGGCUAACACCUUGUCUACAACCACAUUCUCAUAUGCAAAUUUAUUGUUAACUAAAUUCAAAAUCAUAAUAAAUAAUAUGCAUCAACAUACUUCAAAUUACUUUUGAAAGUUAAAUCAUAUAAAAUAAUAUUAUAUGGAAAAUAAAUUAAAUUUAAGUAUACUAUAUGUUCCCCUGUGGCGACUUCAGGACAACUACAAUGUCUCAUACUUGAUACUUGGACUCGAGUUAGCCACAAAAAUCUGGUGUCGCCGAUAACUUUUUGUUGGAUCUCCACUUGUCACCUUUAUUUGUAGAGACUUUGGCUGACUUGGAGGUGACUUCCAACGAGACUAUAUUGUCGUCAUGGCAUUGAUGGAUGACGUCACUUCCUCAUAUUUGUUUAGUGAAGGACUACAAACAAUGUUAGUUUAAUUGAAAAAACAUUGUGGUUGAGUUUUAUACCAUAAUUUUUUGUGCCGCAAAUGAUCAAUCGUCUCGACAGCCUGACAAGGUACGAGACAACUCAUAUUGUCUCUAGUUUGCGGUUUGCGGUGACAUCUCAUGAUGGGAGUUGACUUUGUGACGUCUAGACCGAGACCCGUCACGUAUUAGAAAACAAGGCCAAAUAGUUAGAAUUUAAUAUUAGAAAUAUUAGUACCCAUUUUUGAUGCCAUUAAGGGUUGAUGUCAUUGUUGUCACGAUCUACAUUAUCUAGGUUGGAUUCGACCACUCCGACAGGUCAUCUCUAGCGACGGCACAUUCUGAUGACGACAUGUACCCUGAAGUCAUUCCAUCUUGUAGUGGUGACACAGUCUGAUGACAACACAUACACAUAACCUGGCGACCACAUGUACCUUGGCGUGAUUCCAUCUUCUAGCGACGACAUGUACCGUGGCGUGAUUAAUUCCAUCUUCUAGCGACGACACAGUUUAAUGAAGACACCUAACUCGUUGAUAACAUGUCCCCUGGCGUCAUUCCAUUUUCUAGUGAUGAUGGAGUCUGAUGACGACACCUUACCUGGUGACAUGUGCCCUGACGUCAUUCUAUCUUCCAGACACGGUCUGAUGACGACACAUUCUUGCGACAACCUCUUUGGUGAACCCGGAUGAUGUUGUCGUGAUGGCAGGUCGUAUUUUGUGUUUGGGAGGAUAUUUGUGGGUAUGUAUUUGGAGAUAAAAUCUAGGCAUCCCUCCACAGACGACGCCAAUUUGUUUAUGCCAAAUAUCGCAUGAUGGCCUUUGGUUGGGACAUAGGCGACUAGAUUAAAUCAAGGUAAAUAGCAGAAAAUAAAGGGCGGAAAUAAAGAGAGACGAGACACGAGAUGGUGACGCGGAAAACCCAAAAGAGAUAAAAACCGCGGGGUCCACUAUGUUGCUGGCAUAAAAAGCCUUAUUGAGUACAAGUACAUUGUAUAUUUGCGAGUAUGUAAAUAUAGAUAACGAUAAUGCUUAAAUAAAAUACCGUUUUACCUCUGUUCCGCAAUAGAUGCAAUGGACACUAUUCAUUAACUAACUUUAACAACCAUCCUUUCACAUUAUGUAAGAAUAAACAUAGACAAGUGAGAUCUUGUUAAAUUCGUAUCAAUACGAGGAUUCCAAAUAUCAAGUUUUUAUAAUUUUUACUUACACGCAAAUAGAUAUAUUAAUGUUCAAAGAAGCGUGAUGGAAUAUGUGAAAAAAGAAAUGAUGCAAGUAUUGUGAAACGGAGGUAGUAUAAAAUACGAGAUGAGAGUGCAUAAGUGGAUUGGAGUAAUAUCUUCAUAAUAUGGAAAAAUCUAUUUUGUGGAUAAAAUAUCUUAGGAGGAAGGUAUGUUUAUCAAGACGAUACUAUCUUAGGAUAAAUAAUAAUGGUUAAUAUUGAGUGGAAAGUCUAGGUGGAAGGUAAAAUGAAGUUAUGUUAACUAAUGUUCUUAGAGCUACGUGUCACGGUACGAAUAUUUUGGGCACUAGAUCGUGCGGCGCCCUCCUACCUAUUGGGCAGUAUGGGUGCAAGCCUUGUGCGGAACAAAUUCAAAGGGGCUCGUGAAGCCCGAGCGAGCAAGAUUUCUGAGAAGGGGCACUCUUGUCCAUUGGCGACAUGAAUGGGACGCGGACGCCGAUCGGGCACUUGUGUGCGCACAUCAGUCACAAGUGGGGACGACGACGCAAAUGUAUCUGUUCGGGAGACUUUGUUGAGGCAAGAUCUAUAAAUGCUUACAAUAAUGCUAGCGACAACACAAUAUCUAUAAAUGCUUACAAUAAUUCUAGUGAUUAAGCAAAGGUAACUUUUGGUGAGAGGUAUUGGUUCAUACCCAUUAUAGAGGUUUAUUUUGAAUUAGCUAAAACUGCCAGUAAACACUGAAUUGACAGAAAUACAAUAAUCUUAUCUUAUGUAAAACCUAGAAAUUUUAAAAAAAGUCAUAGAAAGCUUAGAUAAGAAAAGUACAAGGCAAGUAAGGUUGGAUUCUAACACUAUGUGAUGGACAUGGAGUUAAGGGAAUAAGAUAAUAUGAUGAGAUGGGAAGUAGGUAGUGGAGAAUGAUAGUAGGAAGUUGCCCCCUUUACCGUAGGUUUUGGAGUGUCUUUAUAUAAAACUCUAGGUAUAUCGUGGUUUAGGAAAUAAUGCUAGUAGUGCUCCCUUGAUCUUCUCAACCGUCUCCUUGAUCUUCUCAACCGCUUCCUUGAUCUUUUCUAACCAACUUGACCUUGAGCAAUAAGUAACCCAUUUUUCCAUUACUGGUUUGACCAGUAAGUAGGUGGAGAUAAUGGCUCCUUGAAUCUAGGAACCAACCUGGACUGCAUUCCUAAUAGGACCCGAGAGUGGCUGGCACGUGGUGACUUGUUCUCGCGCCGACUACGAUCCGUGUAAAACGACCCAUAACAACUACCACCACACUACCGCAGACCCACCGUCCAAAUUUCUAAAAUCGCCUCAACCACUGACCAACUACCGGUGGCGCCCAACCAAAACCCUCCUUGACCACGAAUCCACCACCAAAACCACCUACCCAACCACCGGAAUUUCACUCAUCCCCCUCAAAACCACCCAAUCAACACCGAAAUCAACCCAAACAAACCCUAACUUCGUCGAAUACCAAUCCACCACUUCGAAAACAACUAUAACCACUUGAAAACCAUACCACCUACCUUAAACAUGACCUCAAUCAUCAAAAAAAUCAAACAAGAUCUAAGAGAGAAAAAGAUAAGGGAGGAGAGAGAUAAAGAAGGCGAGGGAGGCGGCGGCGACGGAGCUGAGAUUGGCGGCGACGGUGGUUGAACCCAUGUUUAAGGGAAGAGCCAAAGAGUUGGUGGGAGUUGAUUUUGAAGCAAAGAGUGAAGUGAGAGAAUGGAAUGAAAACCAAACAGUAUUUUAUAUCAAAGGAUUUUUAUUCCAUUAUCCUUAAUUUCGUUUCUCAUACUCUUUCCCUUUCCCCUUCUCCAACCAAACGGCCCCUUAAGUAAGGGACUCAAGAAGAGCUAACUCUAAUUAUGGUUUAGAAACGUAUUGCAUUUCCAUGUGAAGCUUCUUUGAAUGUGUUCUUUGGCGUACAAGGUGGAGAGGGAUAAGGAAAAAUAAGAAGCUAGAUUCUGAUGUGGGUGCUCAAACAUGUGCAAAUAGAAUUGAAAGUAGGAAGACCUGAAAACAGUGUGAUGCUUCUUGUGCUUCAACCCUUCAGUUUCAUCCCCUGAUAUUUGUGCUGUGCUCAACAGCAUUUGCGAAAAACUGAUAUUUGAUCCUCAUAAAACUUUUUGUAAGUAAAUCUGUAAACAUAGUGUGGGGGUCUUACUAUUCAUGAUUAAGAUUUUUAGAUGGGAAUUAGAGCCUCAGAGGGAGAUGGUUCAUUAGGCUAGUUGGUGUCUCAGGAUUCCAAGACACCACUUGGCCCAAUUAAGUUCUUUAUUUUUGUUUAUAUAUGAAGGAAUAAAGUUUAGGAUAAAAUCCAAGGUCAUAGAAUUCAUACCCUAACAAAAUAUAUCAAGGUCCUUUCAUGAUUAUGCACUGCUUUUGUUUUUUGAGGGUUUUCUGCCCACCUUCAGCUUAAUUUUCUACAUCUAUUAUUGAAGUCCUGGCCUUUGGAAAGAGGUCUAGGAUUAAGUAAUAUAUGCAGUCUUGCUUUAGAAGAUAUCUCUUCCUUCUAGUAUAACCUAUGUUACUUGGACUCGGGUACGGGUGUCGGACACGGGUAUGGAUCCGAGUGUCGGACCUGGUAAAGUUAAAAUUUCAAGACACGAGGAUCCUGUCCUAAUUUUAGACACGGGUAUGGGAACAUGGAAAAAAGUUACUAGAAAAAUUAAUAAAUUAAAGAAAAAGAAAAUAAGAAUUAAUUUCUUUUGAAAAAAAGAAUUGACUAAGUUUUCUGAAAGCAGCUCCAUGCUUUAAACAAAAAACAAAGUGAAUUUUAUUCCUAAUUAACAGAUUUAGGGUUAAUUAAAACUAGAUUGGAAAUUUUCUUAAAGCAGGGGCUGACCAGCCAGUGUGACUGAUCGGCCAAGGAUCCGGUACGGAUUCCAUACCUGGAUCAGUGUCAUCAGUGGCGGAGCUAGAUAGGUGCAUGGGGGAUCCACCGACCCCCCAAAAAAAACUGGAAAAAAAAAACUUAUAGCUGAGAGCUAAGAGAUCUGGUAUUAUAGAAAACCGAUCUCUUAGGCUAUACUUGAAAACACCCGCCCCAUACGUAAGAGAUCAGUAUACUGUAGUGAUAAUCCUCAGUAUUUAAAAGAACCGUUCUCUUAGAAUUUAGAAUAACUACAGGGGGGAUUAUCUUACGAGAGCAGUCUUUAGAAAUAACUGGUCUCUUAGAAUUUUGAAUUUAAAUACCCGCUCUCUUUAAUUAAAUUAUUCUUUUCAGUUUUCACCACACAUAUGAAAACCGUAGAGAAUAAUUGUAAUAAUUUUGUACGAUUGUAAUAUGAAUAUUGAUUAAUUUAAGGACAAUACAUUUUUUUUAGUAAUAUUGUGUGUUGUAGAGGAUCACCCGACACAAUACUCUAAAAAUCCUGGGAACGUCACUGCCGACACCCCAAAAAAAAAUUCCGAGCUCCGCCACUAAGUGUCAUGUCGGGUCGACAUGGGUAUGAGUCCAAAAGAGGAGUGUCGAAGUAACACAGAGUAUAACUCAGCAUGCCAUAAUUAUUUAGGUCUAAAAGUGCUCAACAAGUUUAUAUCCUUCUGUUUUUUUAUGCAACUUGCAGCUAUGUCUACGAUGUCAUUUCUUUCGAACCUGAUUGUUAUUGUAAGGUGAAGAUUUUAUCAUGAAAAAAGGACAUUUAGGCCCUGUUUGGUAAUUAGAGUUUAGCGUUUAGCUGUUUACUGUUUACAUUAACAGUUAGCUGAUUACCUUUUUAUUUAGCAGAUUUGACUGCGGAUUUGACUAGCUGUUUAUAUAAACGUGUUUGGUAACACUUAGAGGUUUGAUAAAAGUUGUUCACCAUUUAAUUGUGCAAAAAGACACUUAUGGACAUUAGUCUUAUUAUUGCCUUUUUCAUUUUUUAUUAAUCAAUAAUUGUGAUAUAAAAUGUGAUUUGCUAAUUUAGAAAAUAUUGUACAACUUUAGAAAACACAAAUAAAUACCACGUACAUCAUUAGUAUUUAAUAUGUGAUAUUAUUAAAUACCAAUAACAACAAUAAUAAUUAAUAAUCAUCUUCUCACAUCAUACACACAAAAAUAUCAGAACAACGGAGAUAAAAAAACAUCUACAAAAAAAUGGGCAUUUAAGAACCCAAUAUAAAACCCACCCCUAAUAGAAUAAAAGCCCAUUAGAUAAUUAUUAAGUAAAAGUAAUAAAAGGAAAAAAAAUAUUCAAAGUCCUCCUAAACCCACACUCCAUUUCCGUUCUCCAACAAUCCAUCUUCGUCUUCACCUUCUUGUCAUCUCCGCCCGACAUUCCUCCAUCCCCAUCUCCUCAAAUAUAACUAUUUUCCAGUCCUAAAAUAUUUGGUAGAGCUCAUCAGCUCAACAUGCAACAAAAUCUUGAAGUAGGAGAAGUAAUUUGGUAGGGAUAUAUUCAACUUUUAAUUUUAAUUUUUUCAGGUAUUCUACCAAACGAAUGUUUUCCCCCAAUAAUUAUCACUGAAUAUCCAAUUAAAAGUUUUCCGGACUUUUUUUUGGGUUAGAUUUAUGGCUGUUCAAUUGUGAAUUAGUUUGGUAAAUCACUGAUCAAUCAGAGUUGUGGAGAUGUAGCUCAAGGAUUCAACAGGGAGGACAAGAUCGUCUUUUACAAUUUUGUAC